rnacentral:sRNA from 1 species
UCUCAUCGAGGCCCUUGUGGCACACUGUGGACCAGUCACCUGUGCUUAUCCUGGGAGGCAUUCCCAAUGAGAAGUACGUCCUGAUGACCGACACCAGCUUCAAGGACUUCUCUCUGGUGGAGACAGGUAAUGGGCAGACACCAUAACAAGGCUUGAGGGAGACACAUCUCAGAUGACGGUGAAAACCCAAUCACCACGCUUAGAAACUACAAGAAGAUCCUGUGAUCCUGUUUUAGUUCUUUUUCUUUUUUUUCUUUUUGUCAUGGUCUCACUUUGUUACCCAGGCUGGAGUUCAGUGAUGCAAUCUUGGCUCACUGCAGCCUCCACCUCCUGGGUUCAAGCCAUCCUCCUACCUGAGCCUCCCUAGUAGCUGGGACUACAGGCGCAUAUCACCAUGCCUGGCUAAUUUUUGUAUUUUUGGUAAAGAUGGGGUUUUGCCAUGUUGCCCAGCUUGGUCUUGAACUCCUGACCUCAAGCCAUCCUCCUGCGUUGGCCUCCCAAAGUGCUGUGAUUACAGGCAUGAGCCACCGUGCCCAGCCUUAUUCUUGUUCUCUAACCAAGGAGAUUUCUCCCUGAUGGCCUCAUCUCUUUGUCUUCUCUCUUCCCCGCUCCUGUCUCUCUCCACCACUCCCUUCCACACUGCCCCCAGGAAACGGAUCCUCCCCUGGCUCAUGGUUGGGGUCCAGGUAUAGAUGCUGUAACAAAGAGACCCUGGAAGGGAAUUACUUAAAUAGAGA